UGGGGAAUUUUGGACAAUGGGCGCAAGCCUGAUCCAGCCAUGCCGCGUGAGUGAAGAAGGCCUUCGGGUUGUAAAGCUCUUUCGGCGGGGACGAAAUGGUUCGUGCCAAUACCACGGACUGAUGACGGUACCUGAAGAAGAAGCACCGGCUAACUACGUGCCAGCAGCCGCGGUAAUACGUAGGGUGCAGGCGUUAAUCGGAAUUACUGGGCGUAAAGCGUGCGCAGGCGGUUUGUUAAGACAGAUGUGAAAUCCCCGGGCUUAACCUGGGAACUGCGUUUGUAACUGGCAGACUGGAGUGUGGCAGAGGGGGGUGGAAUUCCAAGUGUAGCAGUGAAAUGCGUAGAUAUUUGGAGGAACACCGAUGGCGAAGGCAGCCCCCUGGGCUAACACUGACGCUCAUGCACGAAAGCGUGGGGAGCAAACAGGAUUAGAUACCCCCGUAGUCCCUGAGCGGGCUGGCAAGGCGCAU
rnacentral:rRNA from 1 species